rnacentral:rRNA from 1 species
UACGUAGGAUCCGAGCGUUGUCCGGAUUUACUGGGUGUAAAGGGCGUGUAGGUGGGUCUCUAAGUCGGUGGUGAAAUCCUGCAGCUUAACUGCAGAACUGCCAUUGAUACUGGAGGUCUUGAGUGCGGCAGAGGGAGAUGGAAUUCAUGGUGUAGCGGUGAAAUGUGUAGAUAUCAUGAAGAACACCGGUAGCGAAGGCGGUCUCCUGGUCCGCAACUGACACUGAGGCGCGAAAGCGUGGGGAGCAAACAGG